UACAGAGGGUGCAAGCGUUGUUCGGAAUUACUGGGCGUAAAGCGCGUGUAGGUGGCGAUGUAAGUCGGGUGUGAAAUCCCUCAGCUUAACUGAGGAAGUGCACUCGAUACUGUGUCGCUUGAGUGUUGGAGGGGAUGGCGGAAUUCCCGGUGUAGAGGUGAAAUUCGUAGAUAUCGGGAGGAACACCUGUGGCGAAGGCGGCCAUCUGGACAACUACUGACACUGAGACACGAAAGCGUGGGUAAGCAAACAGG
rnacentral:rRNA from 1 species